GCUGCUGUGGUGGAAUAGGCAGACACAAGGGACUUAAAAUCCCUCGAGGGCGACUUCGUACCGGUUCAAGUCCGGUCAGCAGCACCA
rnacentral:tRNA from 1 species